UUGGAAAAUGUGAUUUGACAGAAUUGAGACACAGCAUGGUGAUGUGUUGAUUUAGUAGAAGAUCAGAGUGGAGAAGAAGCAGACAGGCUUGCAGGCUAAGCUGGAGCCCUGUGGCUGCCCAGACUUAGAACCAAAAUGCAUGAAAGACAAGCUAAAACUUUCUAAAUCUAAAUUAGCCUGAAGCAGAAGCUUUAGUCUUGCAAAAGAGACUGAAGUCUUUGAUCUUUUAUUUUGAACUAGGCUAUUUUUAAAGGGGUAGAAAAUGGUUUUCUGGGCAGUUUUGGUCUUUCGCCUCUGAUAUCUGAAUGGAUGAUAAACAUUGAUCUGCUCUCUCCUUCCACCUUAGUUUGGCACUGAUAUGCUUCUUUCUCCAAUAGUGCAGUCCCUAGAGCCUGUGUUCUGUGAAGCAACAGCAAUCUUUACAUACAUACUUAGGAAGAACAUUUAAUUCCAAGAUUAGUCUGCUGUCUUGCCAUUAUCUACUUAUGCAAGUGGUAACACAGAAGAUGCUGAAGACUGGUGGUUGACUAACUGGAGGAAUCAGAGGUGAAAGCCCCGGUACUAGAGGAUAGAACAAGCUUUGGAAGAACCAGAUCAGCAUUUGAAGACAAUAGAAUCACAGGUCUCAAAAUGCAGAGAUAAUAUGUUUGGACAGAUGUGACUGUAAUACUGUCAGCUGCUGCUGUUCCAUAUCAAGGCCUCCAGUAUUUGCUCUUUAUUCUUCAAGCCAAAGCCCUUGGAGACAAGUGAUUAGAGGCAAAUAUUAGCUUUCAUUAUUUUUAAGGGAGAUUCUGAGAAAGUCUUGAAAUAAUGACCCGAAUGUACACUAACAGUUAAAGAUACACACAGCAAAUAAAAAUAGCCUGCAACUGUU